AAUAAAACGAUUAAUUGAUAUCUGUCCAGGAAAGUGGGUUAGUUGUUAGUGGUUAGUGAGAGAGAAGAGGGUGUAGUGGUCUUACACCUACCCUCUGAGUCAUUAAAACUCGCUCUGGGUGGGAGCCGGUACCGGGCUGCGAACCCUGUACCUACAAGCCAUAUAUCAAUUUCAUUUCCAUUAUAGGUAGACGAGUUCGACGCGAGAUCCAGUCGCACCACAGACUACAGACACCGCUCCAAGUGGUUGGUAACGGCACCAAGGGCACUUAACUCUAACUCGAGACACGACCCAUGGAAACUGGAAAACCUUGCACUGCUUCAGGUUUUGCAACCAAAGGCUCGGGUAUAUAUUGAUAAGGAAAAUCUCAGCAUCCACACGUUGAUAAAACACCUCUUUGCAUCUAAGCUUGAAAAGGUUCAUUGCACAGCUAUGUCAUGUCUAUCUGAGAACGAGAUAUUUCCAAAUAUCAAAUACAAAUUCAACGGCCGACAUCUGCACGUGUUGACACAGAGUGGAAUAUUUUCUUACCAGACGCAACACGGCGACAAUGUGACAUAUGAAGGCUUUGGUGUGGAUAUUCUACGUGCAGUUGCAAAACACCUCAAUUUCAGCUACACUAUUUCUGAACCAGCAGACAGAGACUGGGGAGUGUUUAUAAAUGGAUCCUGGACUGGGUUGGUAGGAGCUAUGGCC